rnacentral:rRNA from 1 species
AGAGUUUGAUCAUGGCUCAGAAUGAACGCUGGCGGCAGGCCUAACACAUGCAAGUCGAACGGGUCCUUCGGGACUAGUGGCGGACGGGUGAGUAACGCGUGGGAACAUACCCAAAGGUACGGAAUAGCCUCGGGAAACUGAGAGUAAUACCGUAUGUGCCCUUCGGGGGAAAGAUUUAUCGCCUUUGGAUUGGCCCGCGUUGGAUUAGGUAGUUGGUGGGGUAAUGGCCUACCAAGCCGACGAUCCAUAGCUGGUUUGAGAGGAUGAUCAGCCACACUGGGACUGAGACACGGCCCAGACUCCUACGGGAGGCAGCAGUGGGGAAUCUUAGACAAUGGGGGAAACCCUGAUCUAGCCAUGCCGCGUGAUCGAUGAAGGCCUUAGGGUUGUAAAGAUCUUUCAGAUGGGAAGAUAAUGACGGUACCAUCAGAAGAGCCC